rnacentral:rRNA from 1 species
AUGACGUUUGAAGAUAUGGAGGCGCCAAAUCUGUGCCGACCCCCUAUUGGUGAUGCCUCUAAUGGAGCCCCUCUUGGUGACAUCUCUAAUGUUGAUCAUCAUUCCCGAAUGACUCCAGUGCCAAUGCCAGCCUCACACGACCUUACCCCUUAUGGAUCUCACUGCCAAAGGGUAAAUCUUGCUAGCAAUACCAACAUAGCAAGGAAAAAGAAACGAUCAAUGCGAAAAAUGCCAAUUGAUGCCAUCUUAGCGGCAUCUCCACUAUCAAUCAACUCCCCAAAUGGAGUACAGGAACUAUCGCAGACUGCGACAUCUGACCUUAACAUGCCAGAUACGGUUCAUGAUGAUGGAGAACAUAACAGGAACUCAUCAAUAGAAAAAGGGGCAUUCUAA